UUUAAGUGUAACCAUAAGUUUCCGUGUCCAACUUUGAUCGUUUAUCUUAUUUGAAUUUUUUUUAUGAUUAGUAUUUUUAUUGUUAUGAGAUAAUAAAACAUGAAUAGUGCUUUACUCGCGACUUGUGUUUUAAUUUUUUUUUCAAAAAUUUUUCAAAUAAGAUGGACGGUCAAAAUUGAACGCGGAAAACCUUGGGUGCACUUAAA
rfam:Oryza glumipatula chromosome 6, whole genome shotgun sequence.